rnacentral:rRNA from 1 species
UUUAAAUUGAGAGUUUGAUCCUGGCUCAGGACGAACGCUGGCGGCGUGCCUAACACAUGCAAGUCGAGCGGAGAAUGCGGAUAUGUUUACAUAGAAGCGUUCUUAGCGGCGGACGGGUGAGUAACACGUGGGUAACC